rnacentral:rRNA from 1 species
AUGAAUGUUGCGCUCAUGCUGAGGUGGGUUUGGAGGAUCAUGCGAGGCGAUGGGGGCUUGUGGCUUCAGAUCAUCCAAGAAAAAUACCUAAGGGGUGAACACCUAUUGGCAUGCUCCCGCUCAGGAGGACCCCAGUUUUGGCAAUCCAUCCAAAGGAUCAAGGAGGACAUUCGUUUAUGAAUUUCCUUCUCUAUAGGUAAUGGGGAGGGGACCCAAUUUUGGUUGGACCCAUGGAUGGGUACCGAGCACCUCAGGGUAGGUUCUCUGUCCUAUUUUCUAUCUACACGGAUCUGUUGCUCCUUGUCUCCGUGGCUGCACGCUCUGGGCACUGGGGUGGUUCCGCCGGACGUUUGGGCAGGUGGAGAAUAUCGAGUGGUCUAG